GUAAACUCACAAAAAUACUGAACUCCGAGGAAAAUUUAAAACGGAAAGUCCCUAAUCAAAUGGCAAAAUCAAAAGCUCAAACACAUCAAACGAAUGGAUAACAACUGUCAUAUUCCUGACUUGGUACAGGCAUUUUUUUUAUGUAGAAAAUGGUGGAUUUAACCUGGUUUUAUAGCUAGCUAAACCUCUCGCUUGUAUGACAGUCGCAUCAAAUUCCAUUAUAUUGACAACGAUGCGUGAACAAAACAGACACAAUAGGUAAAAAUGUCAAAAAUAGGGGUACAGCAGUCAACAUUGCGUUAUCAUCUUAAUCACUAUAAAAACAAUGCAACGAAGAAGCACAAAAAGGCAUACAUCAAAUUUAACAUCCUCAUUUUGCUUUUUAAU